rnacentral:sRNA from 1 species
UGGUGUGGUGUGGGUUAGGUGAGAUGGAAUCGUGGUCCUUCGUGCUGGAGUGCAUAAAGCGUGUGAGUGUAUGGAACUGAAAUGGACUGUUUCUGCCUGUGUGACAGGUUCGUAAUAUUUUGUUGUUGUUUUGGGGAAAAAAAAACCCGUUUUUCCACAGAGAGCCUAUCUCUGGCAGAAGUAGCCAAUGAGCUGGACACGGAGACCCUGCGGAGGCUGAAGCGGGAGUGUGGGGGCCUGCAGACGCUGCUCCGGAACAGCCACCAGGUGUUCCAAGACCCUGUAUUCAGUGGAUCAGCUGGCACCACCCAAAUAGAUAAAUUGGCCCAUCUGGUCAUGUGGCCCCCACCCAGGAAUGGACUCAGCUCAAGAGGACAGCUUCAGCUCCCUAAGAUUUUAUCUUGGACCCGACCAAUCAGCACUCCCGACUUACUGGCCCUCUACUCACCAAGUUAUCCUUAAAAACCUCAAUCCCUGAGUUUUCAGAGAGACUGAUUUGAAUAAUAAUAAAACUCCGGUCUUCCACACGGCCGACUCUGCAUG